rnacentral:rRNA from 1 species
AGGCAGCAGUGAGGAAUAUUGGUCAAUGGGCGGAAGCCUGAACCAGCCAAGUCGCGUGAGGGAAGACGGCCCUACGGGUUGUAAACCUCUUUUGCCGGGGAGCAAUGCCCAGCUCGCGAGCUGGGAAGGAGAGUACCCGGAGAAAAAGCAUCGGCUAACUCCGUGCC